CAUCAUGCUUUGACGGAGACAGUAAAUUUGACAUUGUGGGGUAGCGAUUCGAGGAUGGUGAGAGCUCGAACGAAGCAAGUUAAAUCGAAAAUCACUCCUGAGCUAAAUAACUGAAAUUCAAGUAAGUUAUUUCGUAGCACACGACGUUACAGUGUCUAAUGAGGCUAAUUUUAUUUAGCGAAUUUAGGGUGGUACCACGAGACUAAUGCUCCUCGUCCCUUUU
rnacentral:ncRNA from 1 species